AGCUCCAGUCACCAGACCUGGCCACACCGGAAAAUCUUUAACAUCUGAAUGCAUUGCAAACGAAAAAAACCUCUCAGGAACAGAACUUCAGGAGAUUGUAAUGUGCAUGUGCUGCUGCAUUAUACAUAUUCAAUGCAACUGAGGCUGAAUUCCAUCAAACGCUUUUAUUUCCUCAGGCUUGAACAAGAAUGAUGACCUUAUUGCAGAACACGGUGAACCUCUCUGCAGGAAAUGAAGGCUUUGCUGAGACACAUCUUCUUGUUCAACGGAUCUUGGAGCAAGAGGUCUGCAGAUUAUAAUUGCUCAAGUCAU